rnacentral:lncRNA from 1 species
GCACUGUGCCAGGCUCUCUUCUAAAUGCCUUAAAUAUACAAACAAAUCCUCACUUCACUUCUGUGCAGUAGAUGUGCUAUUUUCCCCAUUCUAGAGAUAAGAACACUGAGGCGUGGAACAUUAGUAGAUGCCUGAAGUCACACUCGUUCAAAGUGAAGGAACUCAAUACCAACUAGAGUCAGUGCUCCCAUUAAUCCAAAUGAGACCUAGACCCUGUCUCAGUGUUGGUCCCUGACAUAUCAGUGUAAGGCAGCUGUUUCCAACACCUGCUCUGCCGGCACCGAAGGAGUUAGCACUGCCUCCCCCAGAUACGUGAGCCUGUGUUCCAACAUCCUGCUCUCUCUCAACUUGACCUUUGUGUCUUUGUUUCUUACAAAACAGCAAUAAUUCCCAGAUGGUCUGAUAUCAGAUAUAAUCACAGCACCACACCACCUGCUUAAGAUGCGGCAGCUCAGCCCCACCUAACAGACCACAGAAAACAUGUGUGCUUACCUUCCACGCUAGAAAGGAGGCUCCCUGGCCAGCCUCCCCUGACCAAGCCAACCCCACAGCCAGCUGCUGGGCUGGACUAUAAAGUGGAGAGAAGGGGAAAAAAGAAAAAGGAAACCAUUUCUGCUUCUCUUCACUGAUCUCCUAACCUCUCACCUCCUAACACCCCCAGCCAGCCGAGGCUUCGACUUCAGAGGCCUCAGUUCCCUGUUUUCUCUGGGCAGAGAGGAGCAGGGGUGGCAGGGGUUAGCUAAUGGCCUCUCUGGAAUUCAGGGGUUAAGCCUAAGGGAGGAAUUUAGUCGGAGAUGCCCCAGAGGAUGGAGUAGAGAUGGUAAAAAAAGCAGCUAG